UGCCCCCCGCAGUGGGCAAAGAGACACCUUGUGUCUUCUUACAUCAGUCAUGGGCAGAGCAGAUGGCAGUUCUUUGUUCUUCCUAGCUUGAUGCCUGGCUUGGUGGCCAAAGCUGUUUCAUGCCUGGGACAUAUUU